CAGAAUUCAGAGGAUUGGGAUGUGAAGGCAGAUGCAUUUGAAUCAGAAAUAUGGUUAAAUGAAAGUCCAUCAUUAAGAAGCAGCCCACUCUUGUGGUACAGUAAGAAAUGGAAUAUGUAUACAUGUGGCUUUACUAAGUGGAUAUAAUGGAAUGUCAUACAAUAAGAAGAUUCUCUGUGGUGCUGUUUUACCUUCCAUAUGAAGACAGGAACUGGAAAUCCUUCAUAUUCGAGACGCAGCUGUGGAUCCAAGAAGGUAGCUUGCCAGCAAGUCAAAUAGGAAAGCUCAUUUGUCAAAAAUACUUGCUGAAGAAGUCAUGUGGGGAUGGAGUUCUCGAUGGAGAGAGAGACAAAGAACUCUUUAAUCUCUGUUGCUCCUGGCAGCAGUCUUUGGCAAAACUUAAAGCAGCAAUGGUGCCUUACAGAAGACUGGCAUGAUUUCCCAUGAUGUA